rnacentral:rRNA from 1 species
ACAGGGUGACAGGUGGUGGCUAUGGUUAGUCGUUCAGCUCGUGUCGUGAGAUGUUGGGUUAAGUCCCGCAACGAGCGCAACCCUCGACCUUAGUUGCCAGCAUUCAGUUGGGCACUCAAGGUGACUGCCGGCUAAAAGUCGGAGGAAGUGGGGAUGACGUCAAAUCAUCAUGCCCCUUAUGACCUGGGCUACACACGUGCUACAAUGGGCGGUACAAAGGGUCGCGAACCCGCGAGGGGGAGCCAAUCCCAAAAAAGCCGCUCUCAGUUCGGAUUGCAGGCUGCAACUCGCCUGCAUGAAGCCGGAAUCGCUAGUAAUCGCGGAUCAGCAUGCCGCGGUGAAUACGUUCCCGGGCCUU